UACAGAGAUCUCAAGCGUUGUUCGGAUUCAUUGGGCGUAAAGGGUGUGUAGGUGGCGCCGUAAGUCGGGUGUGAAAUUUCGGAGCUUAACUCCGAAACUGCAUUCGAUACUGCGGUGCUUGAGGACUGGAGAGGAGACUGGAAUUCAUGGUGUAGCAGUGAAAUGCGUAGAGAUCAUGAGGAAGACCAGUGGCGAAGGCGGGUCUCUGGACAGUUCCUGACACUGAGACACGAAGGCCAGGGGAGCAAACGGG
rnacentral:rRNA from 1 species